GGCCUCUUGUGGUCACAAGGGUGCAUGUCAACAUAUUUGCCUCCCUCUCCAGGUCUGUCUUGCUCCACCCAAGUAUUCUUUUCAUCCAAGCCCUGAAAUGAGAGAACUUCCUGGAACUGUGUAGUCAUAUGUUGCUUCUAUGGGGAGGCCAUGGGACCCCUCAGCUGAUCUUCCAGUCAAGAGAGAGCUCUCUGAUUCUGAAGUCAAUCUCGAUACUCCCCCUGUUCAUCUCCCUUUUGCCCAAUAGUUCUGUUUUUCUGGGAAAGCUCGUAUUGAGGCUGAAAUCCAUCAACUGACAGAAAAGGGAGAGCUUCAGAGGAAUCCUGAUUGAGAUAUGUAGUAUAGGAGUGAUUAGUGUGGACCCUGUUUCUCUCGCCUGCUGGCACCGAAAGAAAACCAGAAAACCCUGGUGACUGGGAAGCUGCUUUGACCCUGGAAAUACUUAAGAUGUCAUUUCAGCACCAAGAUCAGCACCCUUCCCAGCCGUUGCUUCAGCUUUCACCAGAAUGAAGUCUCUGAUUUCCCAAGUGGCCAAUGGAGGAAUGACUAAUGGCAUCCUUACUGUUUUGAAGAAAGGAAUCUCAUUCCUAGGAGAGGCCACGAGUAUUAGAAACAGCAGCUGUAUUUCUACACUAGGCAAAUAAGUGAAAUAGAGGAAGCUUGUUAUCUCCCCUUCCAGGCAUUCUUCUUUUUCUAUGUCCAUGCCUUCACUCAACAGCAAACAUUUGGGAAGAUAUUGUAUUAGUUAGGCCCUGAGGGAAGAUAUGAAGAUGAAUAGAUAUCAUACCUGUCUUCAUCAGGCUUUUAAUCUAGCAAGAUAAAUAAGAAAUGCAGACAAGUACCUGCAAUCAAGGGCAGCAUAGGAUGAAUAUUAUGUGUUAGGGCCUUACUUCCAUCAGAUGUCAUGGAUAGUGCCCUGCAUUGGAUGCCCAAAGACCUGGGCUCAAGUCCUCAUUCUGCCAUGCAUUAUCCAAGUGAUCUUGCAGAAGUGACAUGAUUUCUCUGAGCUUCAGUUUCUCAUCCAUAAAAUGGGAAUAAUAAUAUAUAAAUAGCCUUCCUCAAAAGAAAUGAGACUCAAGAUAAUAAUAUAUAAUAUGUUUUAAUUAUAAAGUGCCAUACAAAUUGAGCUAUUAAUAUGAACAAUUGAAAA
rnacentral:lncRNA from 1 species